CAUCUUUCCAAGUAUACCAUGAAUCUGGACUUCAAUUUCCCACUGAUUUCUUUCCUGCUGCUGACAAUGGUCACAUCACAAAAUCCUGUCUCAUCCACAAUAGGAGGGCUUAAGUUGCAUCACGUUGUCUUCAGAAACUGCAGAGCAUCUGUAGGAUCAACUAACGCAGAAAAAUUAAGUAGAAGUUCAAGGUUAGAUAAAGAACAGCGACUAAGAAUGAAGCCAACAGGAAAAGAAGUAAGAAGUAAAGAUGGGGAUGAAGUCCUGACAGCGCUGUUUGGGCCCCUGACCGAGCUGUACUUCAAACGAGACUAUCCCCUGGACUUUCAAGCAACUUGAGCCGAUAAAUUCCCCUUAUUUUUAAGCUAGGUAGAAUUGGUUUUCUUUCACAUGCAACAGAAAGAAUCCUAAGUGAUAUAUUUAGGAACUGAGAGGAACUAAACCUGCUAGUUGAAGGCAUCGUCUCUACAGCCAACAAAAGCUCAAGUAGUCAAAUCCGAUAGAUUCACAGCGUGGUCAACGGCGCUCUUCAAUGUCUUUGACUGGAUCUUUCUGUAUUCUUACUCGUGUUCACAAUCAGCCCACAUCUGAUUUUGAUAGAGUCAUUUUUUCUAAAUAUCUUUCCCAAUAGAAGGAAUAAAAUAUCUUGAGUUUUAUACAUGUGAAUCCCAUAUCUCCAUCUAUUUUUAAGCAUGUCCCUAAGACUCAAAACUCAAAAUUGUUAUUUUAUGAUGAGUCUUAAACAAAAACAAAAACAAAACCUCAAGGGUUUAAUCUGGAAUACUAAUCGGGUUGAAAAUAAACACAAAAGUUCAGCGGCCAAGAAUGAAAUAGUGAAAGACCAUUAUGACUUUUCUUUAGGCUCCAG
rnacentral:lncRNA from 1 species